CCGUAGUCUUAGUGGCGGACGGGUGAGUAACGCGUGGGCGAACCUGCCCUGUACCGGGGGAGUAACACUUAGAAAUAGGUGCUAAUACCGCAUAAUAAGGAAGACCGCAUGGUGAUCCUUUGAAAACUACCGGUGGUACAGGAUGGGCCCGCGUCUGAUUAGCCAGUUGGCGGGGUAACGGCCCACCAAAGCGACGAUCAGCAGCCGGCCUGAGAGGGUGGACGGCCACACUGGGACUGAGACACGGCCCAGACUCCUACGGGAGGCAGCAG
rnacentral:rRNA from 1 species